CCCUUCUCAGGAUUGCUCCUGGAGAGUUUCCAGUACUCUAUCAGUCUCGACUAUGGGAGGGAGAGUCAAGCAGAGGCCUGUCCAUUCCAUUCCUAGCUUGGCCAAUGGCUAGCAAAUGGAAGGCCAUCUGCUGCAAGU
rnacentral:snoRNA from 1 species